UAGAGUUUGAUCCUGGCUCAGAACGAACGCUGGCGGCAGGCUUAACACAUGCAAGUCGAGCGCCCCGCAAGGGGAGCGGCAGACGGGUGAGUAACGCGUGGGAAUCUACCUAGCUCUACAGAAUAGCUCCGGGAAACUGGAAUUAAUACCGUAUACGUCCUUCGGGAGAAAGAUUUAUCGGAGUUAGAUGAGCCCGCGUUGGAUUAGCUAGUUGGUGGAGUAAUGGCCUACCAAGGCGACGAUCCAUAGCUGGUCUGAGAGGAUGAUCAGCCACACUGGGACUGAGACACGGCCCAGACUCCUACGGGAGGCAGCAGUGGGGAAUAUUGGACAAUGGGCGAAAGCCUGAUCCAGCCAUGCCGCGUGAGUGAUGAAGGCCCUAGGGUUGUAAAGCUCUUUCAACGGUGAAGAUAAUGACGGUAACCGUAGAAGAAGCCCCGGCUAACUUCGUGCCAGCAGCCCCGGUCAA
rnacentral:rRNA from 1 species